rnacentral:pre_miRNA from 1 species
AUGUAAAUUGCGAGACAAAUCUUUUGAGCCUAAUUACAUCAUGAUUUGACAAUGUGGUGCCAUGAUCUGUAGCAUCACAUUGUCAAAUCAUGGCGUAAUUAGGUUCAAAAGAUUUGUCUCGCAAUUUACAU